rnacentral:rRNA from 1 species
GUGUCAGCAGCCGCGGUAAUACGUAGGUGGCUAGCGUUGUCCGGAAUCACUGGGCGUAAAGAGCGCGUAGGCGGCUUGCCAGGUCUGGUGUGAAAACCCGGGGCUCAACUCCGGGCCUGCAUCGGAAACCGGCUUGCUAGAGUCUGGGAGAGGAGAGUGGAAUUCCUGGUGUAGCGGUGAAAUGCGUAGAUAUCAGGAGGAACACCGGUAGCGAAGGCGGCUCUCUGGAACAGUACUGACGCUGAGGCGCGAAAGCUAGGGGAGCGAACAGGAUUAGAUACCCUGGUAGUCCUAGCCCUAAACGAUGGACACUAGGUGUUGGAUCCGAGAGGAUUCAGCGCCGAAGCUAACGCGUUAGGCAUCCCGCCUGGGGACUACGGCCGCAAGGCUGAAACUCAAAUGAAUUGACGGGG